rnacentral:rRNA from 1 species
AGCGAACGCUGGCGGCAGGCUUAACACAUGCAAGUCGAGCGGGCCCUUCGGGGUCAGCGGCAGACGGGUGAGUAACACGUGGGAACGUACCCUUUGGUUCGGAAUAACGCUGGGAAACUAGCGCUAAUACCGGAUACGCCCUUUUGGGGAAAGGCUUGCUGCCGAAGGAUCGGCCCGCGUCUGAUUAGCUAGUUGGUGGGGUAAUGGCCUACCAAGGCGACGAUCAGUAGCUGGUCUGAGAGGAUGAUAAGCCACACUGGGACUGAGACACGGCCCAGACUCCUACGGAAGGCAGCAGUGGGGAAUAUUGGACAAUGGGCGCAAGCCUAAUCCAGCCAUGCCGCGUGAGUGAUGAAGGCCUUAGGGUUGUAAAGCUCUUUUGUCCGGGACGAUAAUGACGGUACCGGAAGAAUAAGCCCCGGCUAACUUCGUG